rnacentral:rRNA from 1 species
AGUCAUAUGCUUGUCUCAAAGAUUAAGCCAUGCAUGUCUCAGUAUAAGUCUUCACAUGGCGAAACUGCGAAUGGCUCAUUAAAACAGUUAUAGUCUACUCGGUAAUCGACAGUUAUACGGAUAACUGCGGUAAUUCUGGAGCUAAUACGUGCGAAAAGACCCGACUUCUUGGAAGGGUUGUACUUAUUAGAUACAGAACCAAUGCUCUUCGGAGUUUUGGAUGAUUCAUAAUAAGCGAAUGGAGCGCAUACCUUGUGUGGCGCUAAACCGAUCGAGUUUCUGACCUAUCAGCUUUCGACGGUAGGGUAUUGGCCUACCGUGGCAUUGACGGGUAACGGAGAAUUAGGGUUCGAUUCCGGAGAGGGAGCCCGAGAAACGGCUACCACAUCUAAGGAAGGCAGCAGGCGCGCAAAUUACCCAAUGACCGAAGGUCGAGGUAGUGACGAAAAAUAACGAUAGCGGACUCUUCCGAGGCCCGCUAAUUGGAAUGAGUACACUUUAAAACCGUCCCCGAGGAUCUAU